rnacentral:lncRNA from 1 species
UUUUUUUUUUUUUUUUGCCACCCCACCCCAUAUGGAGUUCCUGGGCUAAAGAUCAGAUCUGAGCCACAGUUACAACGUGCAACGCUGAUCUGGGUUGGGGAUCAAACCUGCGUCCCAGUGAAUUUGGCUAUUAUGAAUAAUGCUUCUAUGAAUAUUUUCACAUAACGAUCUGCCAGUAUCAUACUGUCUUAAUUACUGUAGCUUUGUAGGAAGUUUUUGAAUUGGGAAGUGUAAGCCCUCAAACUUCGUACUUUUUCAAGAUUGUUUUGACUAUUCUGAGUCCUUUGCAUUUGCAGAUGAAUCUUAGGACCACUUUGUUCAUUUCUGCUACAAAGGAUGGUGCAAUUUUUUUUUUUUUUGGUCUUUUUAGGGCCUCACCCAUGGCAUAUGGAGGUUCCCAGGCUAGGGGGGGUCGAAUGAGAGCUGUAGCCUCUGGCCUACACCAUAGCCAUAGCAACUUGGGAUCCGAGCUGCAUCUGUGACCUACACCGCAGUUCACGGCAAUGCAGGAUCCUUAACCCACUGAGCGAGGCCAGGGAUCCAACCCUCAACCUCAUGGAUUCUAGUCGGGUUCGUUACUGCUGAGCCACAACCGGAACUCCCUGACAUGUAAGGACUAAGAUGGGAAGAGAGAGUAGGAGCUUGAUAGGAAAAGGGGUAGAGAAGGGGAAAGAUGUGGGUAGAGGAAGGAGACCUGGGAAAACCUAGAGUGAAACAAAGCAAAGCACAGCAUAUUCAAGGAACUGAAAAAAGCAGAAAUGAGGUUGGAAAGGCCGGCGCGGGCAGGAUGGACUCAGUGGGGUCGGGGGGACUGGCCUUUAUCUGGAAGCCCUGGAAGGACGGUGGGGAGGCCUGUGGGGGGUGGGCUUCCUCAGGUUCCCUGACCAGAAGAGGCCACCAGACAGAAGGGAUGGAGGACACUGUUGUGUGAACUUGAGAAACAGUGGCAACUUGGACUUGGGUACUGGGGACACUGGGGACGGAGUGAAGUGGACUAUGUGUUUGGAAGAAAUCUGGAGGACAGACUUAACAGCGCUUGGUGUCGGGGAAGGGGAGGGAAGGGGAGGAUACCAUGGAUAAUCUUCCAACUUGGUGGAUGGAGAGGCCCUUUGCAGGAUAAAAAAAUGAAACCAGCCUUCUCACUCUGACCAGUGCAGCCCUGUCACCUUGGAAACAACUUCCAUUUCUUCCUCUGUGAGGAAAAACUUGAGAACUGUCCAGGGGUGUCCCUGUCCCCGAGGUGGCCCAGCACCUGACGCUGAGGAAUUGAAGCUCCAGUGCCCUGGCCUCCCCCUCCAGACUCUUCUCCUCCCUUCCCCAGAUCCGACCUCUCCCUUCUUCUAAUUAUGCCCCAAGUUAUCUUUUAAGGUUCUGUACAUGACAUGGGGUGGGCUCCCAAGUUAGAAGAACCAACUGGACAGCCACUGAUUAUCUCAAUAGUUGAGCUCCCUCCAACCCAAAGGCACAACCACUUACCUCUCCCUCUAGGGCCCCCGGUUCUCAAGGCCCCAAAUCUUGCUUUGUGUCAUGAAGACUUUUUCCCUUGGGGGAGGAGUGGGGGUUUGAUCAGACAAGAGCCUGUGUAUCAGCCCACUGCAUUUUAGUCGAGAUAUGGAUCUGGGCAGCUGUUCAGUGAAUAAGCCAGCAGCCUGAGAUGGGAUGGCAUGGUUCAUCUUACCGGGUCACCCUGCCCAGACACAAGGCGCUGGGGGGCAGGGGGGCGGGCACGGAAAGAUGGCAGAGCCAAAAGAAAAGCUUCUAGAUUAAACAGAGAUCAAAAUCCCAGCACAACAAAGGGACAUCUCUGCGGUCAACCUCCUAGUGUUCUCUGCCUACAGUACUGGGUCAGCGUCAGCAGGGAGCCCACAGCCACCCGGGCACCUCCACAACAUGGACCCCAUUCUGUGCAGGGGCUGGUGCUGGCCACGUUGGUGGUAACAUGCGCUCUCUUAAGCACUGGAUGCAUCCGACUACAUGGGAACCUCACCACCUCCUGUAAAGAGUGCGGGGGGGUGCUAUUUGCCCAUGUUCCACACUAGGAAGUGUGCAAGUCUGCACAAGCAUCACUGGACUCUGUCCACCUGGGAAAGGCCUGCAAUACCACAGCCUGGUGCAUUCCCAGGUAGAGUCCAUCCUGCUGGGCCGUUCAGCAGAGGCUUCUCUUUAGGCCCACUGUCCUCCAGGACAUACCUCCUGAGCCCCUGCCAUCCUGGGUCUGUCUCCUCACCCACAGCACCGCCAGGCUGCACCCACACCCCCAACCCUAGAAUGAGGGAGCCACUUGUGGGCAUCACUUUGCCCUGAUCUCAUUUUGUCACCUCCUCCAUAGCUCAAGGGGAACGACAAAUCACAGGGUUUUCAAAAAAUAUGGCCUUUUAUUGUCUUGGAUGCAAAUAUAGUUUUCAAACUGCAUUGUAGUGUUGAAUACAGCUGGUGGAAAGGUGCUUCUCAACAGCGGAGCAUAAACAGCCUUGCUCUGGAUGGCGCAGGCCUGAGGCUUGGGGCCUCCGGUGAGCAAGACUCUUCUUGGGUUUUGUUUUUCUGCCCACGAGGGGUGACUGUUUGCUACAGAAGCCCUGACACAGUCACCGGAGCUCACAAGAGAAAAAAAUGAACCAUUUACACAAUGAACUGAAAGCAGAAAAAGGAAAAGAACGUGCUGUUUCAGCUGUGGCGUUACAGAAGAAGCCCACAAACACGAGUGUGAACAGAUUCAGAUAAAGCAGCAGCAAGGGCGCCGAGGGAGGGGCCUCGUGCCAGUUCCCUCGGGGACACACAGCCUCGGCUCCAUGUCUCCUACCUUUUAACUGCAGGAAGGAAACUUUAUGGAAAUGUAUCGAACUUCAGUUUCUCCCAACCCUCUCCACCACCUCAACUCUUGAGGAUGGCACCUCUCUGUUCACAUACCCAGGAGAGAAUUCUUCCAAUUAGCGACACCCAGGGUUGACUCUGGAACCAAAAGGUUGACUGGGAGAUAAAAGCGAAUUUUGCUACAUAAUUGUCAAGGUAUUUCACAAAAAUAAAAUCCAUUAAAAACACCCACAAACACGCACACACACACACACACACAGAGCCAACAUUCAACAGGAAAAGUUCCCUUUUCUUUCUCAAAGGCUGAUUUUUACAAGCCUCGACAGGAACGGCCCCCACGUGGUGAGCUGGGAAAGCCAAGGCCUCAAAAGGGAAAGACAAUGGGGCAGGUGAUGGAGGGGGUGUGGGCGCAGCUGGGGGUUCUGGGGCCUGUCUCUGCUCCCAGAGCCCCUCCGCUCCCCAAACCUGCCUGCCCAGCAGGUCAAGGUGAUGGCAACCACGGAAACACGCGUGUUGAAGGUCCAAACUCCUCUACCCCUGCUCUCCUCUCCUGCUGUCUAUGUUCAGAUGUGGUGAAAAUCUUUAAUAUACAAGGCAUCAGGGACAUCGAGCCAAAAACCAUGGCCCACCACUGCUGCGCACCCACCUCAGGGCUCGCCAGCUCCCUUCCUCGUUGUCAAGGCCACUGCAGAGGAAGCACUUUGCAAAGUGGCUCCGACAAGCAGCAGACCGGGCGGGUUUCACCUGCAGCAAAUCAAUCAGCGGAAGCAAGGCAUCUCUAGGGAAAGGCAAUUCCUCCACCAGAGAGAGGAGAGCAGCUAUACUCAGCUUAGUUAGGGGCCUGGGGCCGUGAGAGAGACAAAAGACGCAGGCAGAGCUAGAUGACCAUGGGAGGGGAAGAGCAUAGGGGUGCUGUGCCAAGGCUGCCCA